UGGGGAAUAUUGCACAAUGGGCGCAAGCCUGAUGCAGCCAUGCCGCGUGUAUGAAGAAGGCCUACGGGUUGUAAAGUACUUUCAGUCGGGAGGAAGGUGGUAAGGUUAAUAACCUUAUCAAUUGACGUUACCGACAGAAGAAGCACCGGCUAACUCCGUGCCAGCAGCCGCGGUAAUACGGAGGGUGCAAGCGUUAAUCGGAAUUACUGGGCGUAAAGCGCACGCAGGCGGUUGAUUGAGUCAGAUGUGAAAUCCCCGGGCUUAACCCGGGAAUUGCAUCUGAUACUGGUCAGCUAGAGUCUUGUAGAGGGGGGUAGAAUUCCAUGUGUAGCGGUGAAAUGCGUAGAGAUGUGGAGGAAUACCGGUGGCGAAGGCGGCCCCCUGGACAAAGACUGACGCUCAGGUGCGAAAGCGUGGGGAGCAAACAGG
rnacentral:rRNA from 1 species